GGCUGGUCCGAUGGCAGUGGGUUAUCAGAACUUAUUAACAUUAGUGUCACUAAAGUUGGUAUACCACCCCCCCACUGCUAAAUUGGACUGGCUUAAA
rnacentral:Y_RNA from 1 species